rnacentral:misc_RNA from 1 species
AGCAGCCGCGGUAAUUCCAGCUCCAAUAGCGUAUAUUAAAGUUGUUGCAGUUAAAAGCUCGUAGUUGAAUUUCGGGGUUAGUAGGUUGGUCAUGCCUCUGGUAUGUACUGGUCUCACUGAUUCCUCCUUCCUGAUGAACCUUAAUGCCAUUAAUUUGGUGUUUUGGGGAAUUUGGACUGUUACUUUGAAAAAUUAGAGUGUUUAAAGCAAGCUAACGCUUGAAUACAUUAGCAUGGAAUAAUGAAAUAGGACGUUCGAUCCUAUUUUGUUGGUUUCUAGGAUUGACGUAAUGAUUAAUAGGGAUAGUUGGGGGCAUUAGUAUUCAAUUGUCAGAGGUGAAAUUCUUGGAUUUAUUGAAGACUAACUACUGCGAAAGCAUUUGCCAAGGAUGUUUUCAUUAAUCAAGAACGAAAGUUAGGGAUCGAAGACGAUCAGAUACCGUCGUAGUCUUAACCAUAAACUAUGCCGACUAGGGAUCGGAUGAUGUUAAUUUUUAAUGGCUCAUUCGGCGCCUUACGGG